rnacentral:tRNA from 1 species
CAAUUUAAAGCUUAUAUAGUAAAGUUUUUUGUUUACAUUAAAAAGAAAUACGUGCAAAUCGUUUUGAAUUGA